rnacentral:rRNA from 1 species
ACGGAGGGUGCAAGCGUUAUCCGGAUUCAUUGGGUUUAAAGGGUGCGCAGGUGGGAAUGUAAGUCAGUGGUGAAAUACUGCCGCUUAACGGUAGAACUGCCAUUGAUACUGCAUUUCUUGAGUAUGGUUGAGGUAGGUGGAAUGUGUUGUGUAGCGGUGAAAUGCAUAGAUAUGACACAGAACGCCGAUUGCGAAGGCAACUUACUAAGCCAUUACUGACGCUGAGGCACGAAAGCGUGGGGAGCGAACAGG